UAAUACGAAGGGGGCUAGCGUUGCUCGGAAUUACUGGGCGUAAAGGGCGCGUAGGCGGCGGCCCAAGUCAGGCGUGAAAUUCCUGGGCUCAACCUGGGGACUGCGCUUGAUACUGGGUUGCUUGAGGAUGGAAGAGGCUCGUGGAAUUCCCAGUGUAGAGGUGAAAUUCGUAGAUAUUGGGAAGAACACCGGUGGCGAAGGCGGCGAGCUGGUCCAUUACUGACGCUGAGGCGCGACAGCGUGGGGAGCAAACAGG
rnacentral:rRNA from 1 species